UACGGGGGGGGCAAGCGUUGUUCGGAAUUACUGGGCGUAAAGGGCUCGUAGGCGGCCAACUAAGUCAGACGUGAAAUCCCUCGGCUUAACCGGGGAACUGCGUCUGAUACUGGAUGGCUAGAGGUUGGGAGAGGGAUGCGGAAUUCCAGGUGUAGCGGUGAAAUGCGCAGAUAUCAGGAAGAACACCUAUGGCGAAGGCAGCUCUCUGGGACGGUACUGACGCUGAGACGCGAAAGCGUGGGGAGCGAACAGG
rnacentral:rRNA from 1 species